rnacentral:rRNA from 1 species
AGUAACGCGUGGGUAACCUGCCUCAUACACAUGGAUAACAUACCGAAAGGUAUGCUAAUACAAGAUGAUAUAAGAGAUUCGCGUGGAUUUCUUAUCAAAGCUCCGGCGGUAUGAGAUGGACCCGCGUCUGAUUAGCUAGUUGGUAAGGUAAUGGCUUACCAAGGCGACGAUCAGUAGCCGACCUGAGAGGGUGAUCGGCCACAUUGGAACUGAGACACGGUCCAAACUCCUACGGGAGGCAGCAUG